ensembl:lncRNA
AUGUCCAUAUGGGGACAUCCAUCCAUUAGGAUCCGUCGUUUCCCAUUUCCUGGUCUCUCUGGGGACGCUGAUCCACUGGGAUCCAUCGGUUUCUCCCUUGAUGUCCCUUUGGGGACAACUACCCCCUGGGACAUGUCUGUCCCCAGCUCCAGCCCACCGUGGGAAGCUGACAGGAGGGAUCCAUCCGUUCCCAUUUCCGGCCCCAUUGGGAUCCAUCCCAACACUUCUGUGCCUACUGGGCUCACUGCAACCCCAUUGGGAUCUAUCCUGACAUCUCCAUAUCCAUUUGGGAUCACCACGAUCCCAUCAGGAUCCAUCCCAACUCCUCUGCGUCCUGUCGGAUCUCCCCAGUCCCAUUGGGAUGACUCAGCCAUCCCAAAAACUCUGUGCCCGCUGGGAUCACUCCAAUCCCAUCGGGAUCCACCCCAACACUUUGGGAUCUCUCCAAUCCCACAGGGGUCCCACUGGGAUUCAUCCCAACGCCUCUAUAUCCAUUUGGGAUCACUCAGAUCCCAUUGGGAUUCAUCCCUGUACCUCCAUGUCAUUUGGGAUCACCAUGACUCCAUCGGGGUCCAUCCCAACAUCUCUGUGCCCAUUGGGAUCAUUUCAAUCCCAUUGGGAUCCAUCCCAACACCUGUGUGUCCUUUGGGAUCUCUCCAAUCCCAUCGGAAUCUCUCAGAUCCCAUUGGGAUCCAUCCCAACACUUCAUGUCCUUUGGGAUCUCCCCAGUCCUAUCAGGAUCUCUCCAAUCCCAUCGUGAUCUAUCCCAACACUUUGGGAUCUCUCCGAUCCCAUUGGGAUCCAUCCCAACACCUCUGUGUCCUUUGGGAUCACCCCAAUCCCAUUGGGAUCCACCCCAACACCUCUGUGUCCUUUGGGAUCACCCCAGUCCCAUUGGGAUCCACCCCAACACCUCUGUGUCCUUUGGGAUCGCUCCAAUCCCAUUUUGGUGCUGCAGCUGCAAAUUCAAUCAAUUCCCUACUUCGUUUCCAUUUUUAAAUCCUUUUCCCCACUUAAUUUCCCCUUUUUACCCCAGUUCCCCACCCCAUUUCCUCACCCCGCCCCAUUUCCCCCAAGAUUUACCAAAUCUCCUCGGGCCGUCCCGAGAAAACUUACAAACUGAAGCAGAAAAAUGGGUAAUUUUGGGGUUAUUUUCACCUAUUUCUGCUGGAACACAUGAAAUUGCGAAGGGUGGUUUCGGGGCAGGUUCAGUUGAACGGUAUUGAUGGACAGCAUUGGGGUGGUUUUUUUUUAUUAUUUUUUUACUGUUUUGUGUCUCUGUGAUUUCUCAAGGCGUGGGGCCCAACUGCGGCCGCACAAAAUGGGGAGAAAACACCCAGAUUUGGGUCAGCUGCACAGGACGUUGGCACCGAACGAGGACUCGUGAGUCCACGCGGAGCUGCAGCCGCUCACGCUGGGUUUUCCCAGUUCCCCAUUUCUGUACCCAAAAUGGGAAGAAAAAAAUGGGUCCUUUUUCAGUUUUUUGUUUUUUUUUUUUUAAGGUAAAAAAAUAUAUAUAGAUUUUUGUUCCUAGUUCUGAUGUGAUGGUUUAUUUCAGAGCAGCCUCGGAAUUGGGGGCCCAAGGUGGGAUGGAAAGUGUUUUCCACCUGACAACGUUCUUCUGCAAAGGGUUCUCCACCUAAAAAUGCCAUUUCCCACCCAAAAAACCCCAUUUUCUACUAAAAUACAGCAGUCUUUGGCUUGAGAAGGGUCAUCUUCAAUGUGAAAGUGGACUCUACAUAAAAAUUGAGUUUUCUACCUAAAAGUGGCGAUCUUCUGCUGCUUACAAAUGCCAGUUCUCUACCCAAAAUCAAUCUUUUUCCACCCAAAAUGACCUAAAAAAGCUUUUUCCCGACUCAAUUAUGGCCUUUUCCAGCUAAAAAUGGUCCCAUCUUACGUUUUCUGACACAAAGAGCUUUUCCUACCUUAAAAACUUGUCGUUUUCUACCUGAAAAGAGUAAUGUUUCUAACUGAAAAGUGGAAACUUGAGUUUUCCGACCCAAAAAUGGCCUUUUCCGUGUAAAAAACGGACUUUUGCACCUAAAAACUCUCGAGUCCACUUAGUUUUCUGUCCACUCCAAAAACGGUCCUUUCUACCUAAAAACUGAUCCUUUCCUUCCUUCCUAAAAAAUUGAGUUUUUCUACCUAGAACGACUCAUUUAACUAAAAAUCCACGUUUUCUAUCUAAAAGUAGUAUUUUCCCACCUCAAAGUGGCUUUUCUGACUAAAAAACGGUGUUUUUUUCCCCCUCCAAGUCACCUUUUUCUACCCAAAACCUUUUGCCGACCCCAAAACAGGAUUUCUCCACCCAAAAAUGGGACUUCGGGACCCAAACGCGGCGUUUCCUUUUUGCGUUCCACGACGAAGCCCUACAAAUUGGGUCAAAAAACCACCGAAUCCUUCAGUUUGGACGCAGCCCCCUUCCCAUGGGUGCGGUGCUCCAAUGACGACGCAGCGACGGCACGCGUUGUAAACAACACUUUCUGUAAUAAAUAAUCCAAAAUCGGGGCUAAACGGCCCCGAAAUAAAUAGUGUUCAAUAUUAAAUACCCUACAAUUAAAUAAUCCCUUCAAUAAAUACAACCAACCAAUAAAUAUCGGAGCGACCCACAAAGAACUGGGGCUCUGAGGGUGAGGUAGAGGCACCCACGGGUGCUCGGUGCCACCGCAGCUUCGUUACCGCAGCGUCGGUCCCCCAAAGCAUCCCCAAAUCCAUUGGGUGUCACCUCCAGGCGGAGGUGACAGUCGUACGGUGUCACCCGGACAACAGGGUGACCGUCUGGGUUGUCAGUGCGCAGUGAUGUUGUAGGCCCGCGGGGUCGGCGACGGCAACAACCGUGGGCAGGAGGUGCCCACGGGUGUCACCUGUCCCCCAGUGGGUGGGCACGUUGUCACCGGCGGUGUCACAGUCGUCCCAAGUCGCGCUGUCACCACGACCAUCUCCGGUGUCACCGCUCCUUCAGGUUGCGACGUCCCCACGACCGUCUCCUCGGGUUGUGGUGGUUGUGGUGACAAGUGAGGUGGUAACGACGACACGUUCAGCGUCACCGCGACCGCCCUGGCUGUCACCACCACCUCUCCUGGUUGCGUUGGCUUCCCAACCACCUUGGGUGUCAUGGCCACCUCUCCCGGUUGUAUCGUCACCAUGACCACUGUGGGUGUCACCACCACCUCCCCGGGUUGUGUUGUCACCGCUUUGGGUGUCACGGCCACCAUCUCGGGUGUCACCACCACCUCCCUGGGUUGUGUUGUCUUCCCAACCACCACAGGUGUCACGGCCACCUCUCCUGGUUGUGUUGUCACCGCUUUGGGUGUCACGGCCACCAUCUUGGGUGUCACGGCCACCUCUCCCGCCUGUGUUGUCACCUCAACCUCCCCAGGUUGCGUUGUCACCGUCUCCGCCGGCGCGCUGUAAACCUGAACGCUGACCACUGCCAACAACACCAGGAGGAGCCGCGUGGCCAGGCUGACUUCUUCCGUUGGGGGCGGCCGUCGCACCUGGAGGGGGGGCAACGAAGGGUUAACACACAGCUUUUCGGGAGGUGAAAAGCCUUAAAAUGGGGGACAAACGGCGUUACCAGGGGGAAUUCCCCCCAUUUUCGGCGACGUUCUUGGGGUUCGUGUAGAGGGGACCCAGCUGAGAGCAAAGCCAACCCGAGCCUAAUUAGCUGCUGGGGUUAAUGGGUUAAUAACCCCGCUCCUGCAGGGGCAACGCUGUCUGAAUUCGGGGUUAAAAACUCCCGAAACGAAGGAAAACGUAAUCCUUGAGGGGGCGAAUGUAAUUGUCUGGUGGGAAACCCCCCGCUUUUGGGUUGCUUCUGUGAGGUUUAAUGGGUUAAUAACAUCCUGAGGGGAAUGAUCGCCUUCAUUUUGGGUUAAAAAACCCCAAAAUUAGGGUAAUUAUCAUCCUUGAGUGACAAAAUGUAGUUUUAAGGGGAAAUUUCCCCAUUUCGGGUUCUAGUUUCACAGGUUCUAUGGGAUCUCUGUGGGGUUCUAUGAAAUGCCAGUUGUUUUCCCCCUAAAUACUGCUUCAAUUUGGGGUUAAAAGCCCUAAAAUCAGGGAAAAUGUAAUUCUAGGGGGAAAAGCAGCUCCAGUUUUAGUUACGAAAACCCUAAAACGGGAGAAAAUAUUACUUGAAGGUGGUAGUGGGGGGAACACUGCCCCAGUUUUGGGUUAAAAAGCAUAAAUGAUGAGAAAACAGAAUACAGACGGAGAUAUCCUGCUCUAGUUUGGAGGUAAAACGUCCUAAAAAGAGGAAAAAUGUUGUUCUAAAGGGAAAAUACCACCCCAGAUUUGGGUUAAAACACCUAAAAAAAGGAAAAAUGUGACUAGGUAG